rnacentral:lncRNA from 1 species
UUAAGAAGAAGUGUGCUCAAAUUAAAGGUAAAUCAUACUACACAACUAAAACUGUUGAAAACUAGUUAAAAGAGUCAAAUCUAUGAUAUAAUUCAACAUAUAACUAAUCUUCUUCUGAACUGUCAUCUCUACUCUGGUCUCCUUUAUGAUGUCCACUGGUAGUAGGAUCUGAAGAGCCUGAUGCAGGAUUAUUCAUUUGAAUGUGUUGUAGGAUGAGUUGCAUCUUCUCAUCUUGUUUGCGCAUGCGUUCACUUUGCUCUUCAUGAGUUUUCAUCAAUAGCUCCAUCUUUUCUUCAAGUGUCCGCUCCUUGACACGUUUUGUNNNN